rnacentral:rRNA from 1 species
UACGUAGGGUGCGAGCGUUAAUCGGAAUUACUGGGCGUAAAGCGUGCGCAGGCGGCUUCUCAAGUCAGGUGUGAAAGCCCCGGGCUUAACCUGGGAAUUGCGCUUGAAACUGGGGGGCUGGAGUGUGGCAGAGGGAGGUGGAAUUCCUGGUGUAGCGGUGAAAUGCGUAGAUAUCAGGAGGAACACCGAUGGCGAAGGCUGCCUCCUGGGCCAACACUGACGCUCAGGCACGAAAGCGUGGGGAGUAAACAGG